UCUAGAUUUCACGAUUUCAAUAUGUGUUAAUAGCAUUUCUUGCCUUACCACAAAUUUUUAUAAUUGGGCAGUGUUUCAAUCAUUUUCUAUUUAUUAUAUAUUUGUUUCCUGAUUCUCACAUUGAUCCAAUUAUAAAAAUAGAAGAAAACUUCAUAAUCACACAGAAAAAACAAACAUUCUAUAUUUUUUAAAUCUGUCUGUAACACCAUUCGAAACAGAGAAUAAGCCAGAUUUUAUCUGUGAUGGACCUCAGAGUUCCAAACACGUAUUCAUCACAUAUGACUCAUACGCCACCGGUAGUCAUCAUCGAUCCAGAAUGUGUCCUAUUUUUCUCUGGGCACUUUUACCUUGUCUAAUGAUUAAUUCAUUAAUUUGCUAAUAGUAAUUUGAAAACCUUUGGUUCACAAACGCCUCAGAACAGCAUUAAUAUUAAUAUUCUUUAUCUGCAUAUAGAAUCAUUCUCACACUGAUAAAUGUUUCAUUAAUUAUCCUCAGUUUUUCAAACAUGUAUUGUUAAUAUAACGCUUCAUAUCACUCCCAUUUCUAUCACUGGGCUGCAGCUGGCCAUUUUUGAUUACAGUGCAGACUUUUUAAUAAUACAUCAAAUCCUCCUAACCCAACCACCCAAACUAAGACCAGAACUUGAUUACUCACGUAGGUCUGCGUGCUCCCAAUCAAGAGGCAGACACAGCAUGUCACCAGGGAGGAAUCCUUCCAUCAGCACAAGCCAUCUAUUCUGAGGAAUACAAAGCAGAGACGAAAAAGAACAAUUUGAUCUUGCAAGUGAAUAAGAAUUUGAACAUUAUCUGUAAUUUAUUCUGUCUACAUUAUUAUAAGCCAAAGAAGUAACAGAGGCAACCACAGAGCUCGUGGCCAUGGAAGACUGCUUAAAUCACCUGAGCGUAUCCAUUCUAAGGAGGGAACACAACAAUCUUGAUCCCAACAGAAUGAUUCAAAGAGCUUGUUGCAUCCAUUCUGAAGAGUAGAAAGCACAGAAAAACAUUGAGAUGUUCUCUCCAUUGAUCCACGUUGUCUACCAUUUGUUAACACUGCCUUUUAGGCUUUUAUUAAUUUAUGCUAAUAUUUAUAUAUUUUGCAAGUAAUAAACUUCAAAACUUGCAACUGAAUGAGAGCAAGAACUGUUACCUAUUACAGUCUAUGUCAUCCUUAGUCCAAGACAUAAUAUCCUUGAUCAAUUUAUUACCC
rnacentral:lncRNA from 1 species